rnacentral:rRNA from 1 species
AUUGAACGCUGGCGGCAUGCCUUACACAUGCAAGUCGAACGGCAGCACGGGAGCAAUCCUGGUGGCGAGUGGCGAACGGGUGAGUAAAGUAUCGGAACGUGCCCAGUCGUGGGGGAUAACGUAGCGAAAGUUACGCUAAUACCGCAUACGAUCUAUGGAUGAAAGCGGGGGAUCGCAAGACCUCGCGCGAUUGGAGCGGCCGAUAUCAGAUUAGGUAGUUGGUGGGGUAAAGGCCCACCAAGCCGACGAUCUGUAGCUGGUCUGAGAGGACGACCAGCCACACUGGGACUGAGACGCGGUCCAGACUCCUACGGGAGGCAGCAGUGGGGAAUUUUGGACAAUGGGCGAAAGCCUGAUCCAGCUAUUCCGCGUGCAGGAUGAAGGCCCUCGGGUUGUAAACUGCUUUUGUACAGAACGAAAAGGUUUCUACUAAUACUAGGAGCUCAUGACGGUACUGUAAGAAUAAGCACCGGCUAACUACGUGCCAGCCGCCGCCGUAA